GAUGAACGCUGGCGGCGUGCCUAAUACAUGCAAGUCGAGCGAACGGACGAGAAGCUUGCUUUUCUGAUGUUAGCGGCGGACGGGUGAGUAACACGUGGAUAACCUACCUAUAAGACUGGGAUAACUUCGGGAAACCGGAGCUAAUACCGGAUAAUAUUUUGAACCGCAUGGUUCAAAAGUGAAAGACGGUCUUGCUGUCACUUAUAGAUGGAUCCGCGCUGCAUUAGCUAGUUGGUAAGGUAACGGCUUACCAAGGCAACGAUGCAUAGCCGACCUGAGAGGGUGAUCGGCCACACUGGAAAUGAGACACGGUCCAGACUCCUACGGGAGGCAGCAGUAGGGAAUCUUCCGCAAUGGGCGAAAGCCUGACGGAGCAACGCCGCGUGAGUGAUGAAGGUCUUCGGAUCGUAAAACUCUGUUAUUAGGGAAGAACAUAUGUGUAAGUAACUGUGCACAUCUUGACGGUACCUAAUCAGAAAGCCACGGCUAACUACGUG
rnacentral:rRNA from 1 species